rnacentral:rRNA from 1 species
AGAUUGAACGCUGGCGGCAUGCCUUACACAUGCAAGUCGAACGGCAGCACGGGAGCAAUCCUGGUGGCGAGUGGCGAACGGGCGAGUAAUACAUCGGAACGUGCCCAAUCGUGGGGGAUAACGCAGCGAAAGCUGUGCUAAUACCGCAUAAGAUCUACGGAUGAAAGCAGGGGAUCGCAAGACCUUGCGCGAAUGGAGCGGCCGAUGGCAGAUUAGGUAGUUGGUGAGGUAAAGGCUCACCAAGCCUUCGAUCUGUAGCUGGUCUGAGAGGACGACCAGCCACACUGGGACUGAGACACGGCCCAGACUCCUACGGGAGGCGAGCAGUGGGGAA